UACGUAGGGUGCAAGCGUUAUUCGGAAUUACUGGGCGUAAAGCGUGCGCAGGCGGCUAUGCAAGUCAGAUGUGAAAUCCCCGGGCUUAACCUGGGAACCGCAUUUGUGACUGCAUGGCUAGAGUACGGCAGAGGGGGAUGGAAUUCCGCGUGUAGCAGUGAAAUGCGUAGAUAUGCGGAGGAACACCGAUGGCGAAGGCAAUCCCCUGGGCCUGUACUGACGCUCAUGCACGAAAGCGUGGGGAGCAAACAGG
rnacentral:rRNA from 1 species